GUGCCUUUUGCCUCCUGCCAUGAUUCGGAGGCCUUCCCAGCCACGUGAAACUGGUCCCAACCUCUCAGCUGGUCACCUGCAUCAAAGACCCAACAACACAUGUGACCCAACGGAUGGAAAAUAGAAGCAGGAAACCUGAUGCUGUUCAUGAGGGAAGAAAGGAUUACAAAUGACUGGAUACCUCCAAAAGUCAAGAGUCAUAGAAAUGUAAAUUCAAGAUAAGUAAUUUAAACUCUCAUAAAUGCUUUUUUUUCCCCCUACUGAGUCAAAGGACUUUUAUUUCCAAAGAACUGGUUCCCUGACCAGGAAUUGAACCUGGACUAGAGCACUG
rnacentral:lncRNA from 10 species